GGUCAACAUGAUCUUUGUAAAAUAUAUCCUAACUUAUACGUUAUUCAAUCUACUUUCCAGAUACGUGGCAUGCAUACACUUAUCCGUGAUGCACAGACGACAAAGCAUGAUUUUGUGUUCUAUGCUGAUAGAUUGAUUCGAUUGGUUGUUGAACAUGGACUAGGCCAUCUGCCGUUUACAGAAAAACAGGUGAUCACUCCAACUGGAUCUGUAUACAGCGGUGUAGAUUUUUGCAAGAGGUUAUGUGGUGUCUCUGUGAUUAGAAGGUAAUUAUUGUUCGUCUCCCUUGAUUUCUUCAUAUAUGAGGU